ensembl:lncRNA
CCGAUGUUCAUCAUUAGCUGCACCGUGAGGUUUUUAAGUGGAGCAUCACAAAAGGAUCAAGGUCUCCCAAUACAUCUCAGAUUGGAUCUCUGCUGAAGGCCUGAGUGAUCCAGCUGUGGUAUAUUUUCCCAUUCACCUUUCUGAUGAUAAUACGCCGCAAUAUCCACGAUAAGGAAAUGCCUGGAAUCACCAGCCACGCCGGUUUAUGCAUCGGACAACACAUUGUCCGGUCGUGCACAGAGACCAUGGAGACAGCUGUCAGUGACUGACAUUUCCAUCAAUGAUCUCAAUUAGCUGGAAAGCACAAGUAGUAGGAAGGUUUCCAUUAGCUUUGCAGUAAAUGAAACGACGUUAGAAGAAAUAAGGACAAAAAGAUGAGGUUGACACCAGCGAGGGAAAGGAGGACUCAGCCACUUGGAAGACUCCAUAUAUAUACACACGUGUGUGUGUGAAAUAUUGAAAAUAUAAAGUUCAAUGAUGUCAUAAUGAAUUGACACCAUCAGUGUAAAUUAAAAGUUUGAAUGCAAAAAUCAACCUGUCACGGUUUGGGUUCACGUCCCGUUUUAUUUUGUAGUUUCAUGCCUCUGGUGCUCCUGGGUUAACGUCACUUCCUGCCUUGUCCUGUCUUCCCCUGUGAUUGUCUGUCAUGUCAUGAUUGUUUCCACCUGUGUCCAAUCACCUGCACCGUCCCAGUGUAUUUAAGCCAUGUGUGUCCCAUUGUUGAAAUGUUCUACCUUGAGUGUUCCCGGUUCCUGUCUCGAUUUGUCCCCCAUGGCAUUUUGAUUUGGAGUCUCUGCGUUUUGCCCCGUUGGCUUUCUUGAUUUUGAAUUUUGACUAUUAAAGUCUUUUUGCUUUUCAA